GGCUUAAACAACAAACAUUUAUUUUUUACAGUUGGAGGCUGGGAUGUCCAGGAUGAAGGUGCUGGCAGCUCUGAUGUCUGAAAAGUAUCCAUAGAUCUUGGGGUGACUUUCUUGAGAGUUCCAUUCUCCUCCCACCUUCUAACCUAAAGAGAAGAAAGUCAUUAUUAAAUACAGAGUUUAAAGGCAACUCCAGGAUUACAAAGAAGAUGACCAAGUAUCUCUCAGAAAAGACAGAAAAACCAACUCUUUCAUGAGAGCUACCAGAAGGAACUCCUUUUUUCACAGGAAAUGAUCAAGAAGGUGAACAUGGUGAUGGGAGAUGUAUAGCUGUCCAGACCUCAUGAUGGAAGCUGCAUUUUGAGGAUGGCUAAGCAACAUGAUUGAAGAUGUCUGAGUCUCUGAUACCAUGAAGCAUCAACAACGGCUUUGGACCACUUAUACUCUGAGAUUCAUAUGUCAAAGAGAAAUAAACUUUUACCUUGUUUCGCUUA